rnacentral:rRNA from 1 species
UACGAAGGGGGCGAGCGUUAUUCGGAAUUAUUGGGCGUAAAGGGCGCGUAGGUGGUUUGUUAAGUUGAUUGUUAAAUUUCAUGGCCUAACUGUGAGCAUGCGGUCAAGACUGAUAGACUAGAGGAUGGGAGAGAGAAGUGGAAUUCUCGGAGUAGCGGUAAAAUGCGUGGAUCUCGAGAGGAACACCGUUGGCGAAGGCAGCUUCUUGGCCCAUUGCUGACACUAAAGCGCGAAGGCGUGGGGAGCAAACAGG